rnacentral:rRNA from 1 species
AACGCGAAGAACCUUACCAGGCCUUGACAUCCCGUGCUACGUCCAGAGAUGGGCGGUCCCCGCAAGGGGCGCGGAGACAGGUGCUGCAUGGCUGUCGUCAGCUCGUGUCGUGAGAUGUUGGGUUAAGUCCCGCAACGAGCGCAACCCUCGCCUUUAGUUGCCAUCAUUCAGUUGGGCACUCUAAAGGGACCGCCGGCGACAAGCCGGAGGAAGGUGGGGAUGACGUCAAGUCCUCAUGGCCCUUACGGCCUGGGCUACACACGUGCUACAAUGGCGGUGACAGUGGGCAGCGACCACGCGAGUGGAUGCGAAUCCCAAAAAACCGUCCCAGUUCAGAUUGCACUCUGCAACUCGGGUGCAUGAAGGUGGAAUCGCUAGUAAUCGCAGAACAGCAGGCUGCGGUGAAUACGUUCCCGGGCCUUGUACACACCGUAGUAC